GUAAUACUCCAAAGGAGUGAGAGGCCAUUAAUUGGACGAAGAAGACUGCAUAUGCGUAGUUACUUGCUUCAGAUAGCAGGUUCAUUAAUUUGCACGUGGCUGGAAAAGAGCAUGAUGAGUUAUCGGCAAAGAAUCGAUUCAAACGAAUCGAGAUCAAUUUUCUACCCAAUAUGCCUUCUGGUGAAAAUGAAAGCAGCAUGGAAUCAAAACGAUUAGAGGAAAUGAAGAAACGACAUCAAAGUUCUACACUGCUAGCACAGAACAUGGACAUAAGUUUUUCGCUAAGAAGAAAAGAGUUGGUUGAAAAGGAGCCUUCAGUAAAAGAGACUUUACAAGGAUGGCCAGCACUCUUCAGGGAACAGUCAGAUUAUUGUUCAACCGGAGUAUCUAAUGCAAAUGAAGUCUGCAAACAUCACUGAUGUCACUGCUCGACGGACAGCAGUUCUCUGUGGUCUUGCUGUCCUUCUUGGGGAAGACACUACAGACUUCUUCAAAACAUGCUGACAUUGAUAUUGUUGCACCUCAAGUAUCGAUAGGAAUUCUCACUGUGGUGCCAGAGGACAGCCCGAUGUCUCCACAAGGUUUGCCAUUGGAGGUCACUGAUACAGCAAUAAUUUUGGAGGGUGUUAUAGCAAUGGAUGGACUUGAGAAUGUUCCACAUUCCAUUUUUGUUUUUGGGCUGAUCUAUGCUUUAAAUAUGGAGUACCCUUCACAGCUUAAGAAUUUGUGCAAUGUGUUUUUAAUAGCAGAAAAAAGCCUGUCUUAGGUCUAUUUUUGCAUUUUGGGUGUUGUUUCCAGAUUGAUGGGUGACUGAUUAAAAAUCUCAAUACUUAAAAACUUAAAAACCUUGAUGUUUUAAUCUGUUUUUGUUUUAUGCUUCUUGAUGGCAGAAAAAGACCAUGUUAUUGUAGGUCUGUUGUUGCACUUUGGGUGUUUUAUCCAGGUUGAUGGGUGACUGAUUAAAACAAAUCUGUUUUAUUUAAAAUGUUUAAUGGUUGCAAAAACAAGGAUUUGUUACUGUACGUCUGUUGCAUGUUGAGUUUGUUUUAUUUUUAUUUUUUAGUCAUCCAGUAACUUGGGUACAAAUCCUAGAAAAACAAAACUGUAAUUGCUGCAUAACUUGGAUGUUUUGGUCAAGAUGUGUUCUUUGUGUUUCUGAUGGCAGAAACUAGACCGUGUUGCAGUAUGUCUGUUGUUGAACUUUUUUUGAUAGUUUUAAUCAGACACCUACCAACCUGGAUGCAAAACCAAAACUUUAGUCAAGAUGUGUUUAUGUUAGUAAUUACUAAUUACAGAAUGAUUUAGUCUUGUCUAUUGUUGCAUUUUGGGUGUUGUAUUCAGGUUGAUGGGUGACAAAUCCCUAUACCCACAACAAAAAUGUCUGUUUUAAUCAGUUAUCUGUGUGUUUGCAGUAACACAAAUGUUUUAUUGUUGGGUUGACUUAUUUGUUGUUUUAUUCACUUACCAUCAACCCUUUGUUUUUAAAAA